UAUGUAGGUGGCAAGCGUUGUCCGGAUUUACUGGGCGUAAAGAGCGCGCAGGCGGUCGUUCAAGUCGCGUGUGAAAGCCCCCGGCUCAACUGGGGAGGGUCACGCGAUACUGAUCGACUCGAAGGCAGGAGAGGGAAGUGGAAUUCCCGGUGUAGUGGUGAAAUGCGUAGAUAUCGGGAGGAACACCAGUGGCGAAGGCGACUUCCUGGCCUGUUCUUGACGCUGAGGCGCGAAAGCUAGGGGAGCAAACGGG
rnacentral:rRNA from 1 species